rnacentral:siRNA from 1 species
UUUGGGCAAAAACAUAAGAGGU